CUGAGUAACGCGUAAGCAAUCUGCCCCUAAGACGAGGAUAACAGUUGGAAACGACUGCUAAGACUGGAUAGGAGACAAGAAGGCAUCUUCUUGUUUUUAAAAGACCUAGCAAUAGGUAUGCUUAGGGAGGAGCUUGCGUCACAUUAGUUAGUUGGUGGGGUAAAGGCCUACCAAGACUAUGAUGUGUAGCCGGGCUGAGAGGUUGAACGGCCACAUUGGGACUGAGACACGGCCCAAACUCCUACGGGAGGCAGCAGUAGGGAAUUUUCGGCAAUGGAGGAAACUCUGACCGAGCAACGCCGCGUGAACGAUGAAGUAUUUCGGUACGUAAAGUUCUUUUAUUAGGGAAGAAUAAAUGAUGGAAAAAUCAUUCUGACGGUACCUAAUGAAUAAGCCCCGGCUAACUAUGUGCCAGCAGCCGCGGUAAUACAUAGGGGGCAAGCGUUAUCCGGAAUUAUUGGGCGUAAAGGGUGCGUAGGCGGUUAAAUAAGUUUAUGGUCUAAGUGCAAUGCUCAACAUUGUGAUGCUAUAAAAACUGUUUAGCUAGAGUAAGAUAGAGGCAAGUGGAAUUCCAUGUGUAGUGGUAAAAUGCGUAAAUAUAUGGAGGAACACCAGUAGCGAAGGCGGCUUGCUGGGUCUUUACUGACGCUGAGGCACGAAAGCGUGGGGAGCAAACAGGAUUAGAUACCCUGGUAGUCCACGCCGUAAACGAUGAGUACUAAACGUUGGGUAAAACCAGUGUUGAAGUUAACACAUUAAGUACUCCGCCUGAGUAGUACGUACGCAAGUAUGAAACUUAAAGGAAUUGACGGGACUCCGCACAAGCGGAGGAUCAUGUUGUUUAAUCGAAGGUACCCGAAAAACCUCACCAGGUCUUGACAUGCUUCUGCAAAGCUGUAGAAACACAGUGGAGGUUAUCAGUUGCACAGGUGGUGCAUGGUUGUCGUCAGCUCGUGUCGUGAGAUGUUGGGUUAAGUCCCGCAACGAGCGCAACCCUUAUUGUUAGUUACCAGCACGUAAUGGUGGGGACUUUAGCAAGACUGCCAGUGAUAAAUUGGAGGAAGGUGGGGACGACGUCAAAUCAUCAUGCCCCUUAUGACCUGGGCUACAAACGUGAUACAAUGGCUGUUACAAAGGGUAGCUGAAGCGCAAGUUUUUGGCGAAUCUCAAAAAAACAGUCUCAGUUCGGAUUGAAGUCUGCAACUCGACUUCAUGAAGUUGGAAUCGCUAGUAAUCGCGAAUCAGCAUGUCGCGGUGAAUACGUUCUCGGGGUUUGUACACA
rnacentral:rRNA from 1 species